rnacentral:lncRNA from 1 species
GUUGGGACCUCCUUUUAAAAAUGACUGGCUCCGCCCCUGCAUGCAUGCAUGUAAUUCAGUACAAAGAGUCACAUUUUCCUUAGUCAACUUUGUGACACAUAUAUAAUUUCAGAAAGUCAAUUGGCAAUGUGUUUUGGUAGAAUAGUACAUUUGUUUUGUACAAGUUCAACUUGUAUGUGAACCACGUGAUGCGAACACAGUCGUGUGAAC